rnacentral:tRNA from 1 species
CCUGAAGAAGCUCAUCGGCGAGCACCCGGCUAGGGACCGGGAGGGAGCAGGUUCGACCCCUGCGUUCAGGA